rnacentral:rRNA from 1 species
UACGUAGGUGGCAAGCGUUGUCCGGAUUUACUGGGCGUAAAGCGUAUGCAGGCGGGCCCUUAAGUCGGGUGUGAAAGGUUGGAGCUCAACUCUAACACUGCUCCCUAUACUGAGGGUCUUGAGUGCCGGAGAGGAAGAGGGAACUACACGUGUAGCGGUGAAAUGCGUUGAGAUGUGUAGGAACACCUAUGGCGAAAGCACUCUUCUGGACGGAAACUGACGCUGAGAUACGAAAGCCAAGGUAGCAAACAGG